rnacentral:tRNA from 1 species
GGAGAGUUGGCCGAGCGGUCGAAGGUGCGCGACUGGAAAUCGCGUGUAGGUGACCCCUACCGAGGGUUCGAAUCCCUCACUCUCCG